GCAAGGCACAGGUGCAGUAGAUGUGGGCAGCAUGGACAUAAUACAAGGAGAUGCACACUUCCCCCACCUGUAAAUGAAGAAGGAGAAAAUUCUCAAGCACAAAAUGAAAGUCAGGUCAUUAAUGAAACUCAAACACAAACUGAAACCCAAGCACAAAAUCAAGUUCCCACAGAUGGAGGAACCUCUCAAGCUGGGCCUUCUCAGCCUGGGCCAUCUCAGGUUGCUAGACCACCUCAAGUUCGUAGGUGCAGCAGAUGUAAGCAAGUUGGACACAAUUCAAGGAGAUGCAGUCUUCCUGUCAUAACUCAAACUGCUACUUCUCAAGCUGUUCAUGAUGGAGCCUCCCAAGCUGUGCAAUCUCAGGUUGAAGAUGGAGCAAGAACUCAGGUCGAAGGUGUGGCGAAUCUGCCAGGAUCUGGAGCUGCAUCUCAGGUUCAUGGUGGGGAAGAUCUGGCAGCUGCAUCUGCAUCUCAAGCUGUAUGAGGAGGAAUGAUUGAUGUAAUUAGGGCUAAUUACUCUCUGUUUUGUUUUGGUAGCACAUGGGUGCUCUUUUUGAUGUACUUUGCAUAGCACAUGUGUGCUCAUUUUGAUAUACUUUGGACACCAUAUGGGUGGGUUUUUCUGAUGUAGAUGACAUUCAAUGUGGACCACAAGUUGUGAUGUUAUGUUUUUUAUUGCAAGUGGGAUGGACCACUUUUUCC